GACGAACGCUGGCGGCGUGCUUAACACAUGCAAGUCGAACGGAAAGGCCCUGCUCUUGUGGGUUGCUCGAGUGGCGAACGGGUGAGUAACACGUGUGUAACCUGCCCUUGACUUUGGGAUAACUUCAGGAAACUGGGGCUAAUACCGGAUAGGAUCUCCUGCUGCAUGGUGGGGGUUGGAAAGUUUCGGCGGUUGGGGAUGGACUCGCGGCUUAUGAGCUUGUUGGUGGGGUAGUGGCUUACCAAGGCUUUGACGGGUAGCCGGCCUGAGAGGGUGACCGGCCACAAUGGGACUGAGAUACGGCCCAGACUCCUACGGGAGGCAGCAGUGGGGAAUAUUGCACAAUGGGCGGAAGCCUGAUGCAGCAACGCCGCGUGCGGGAUGACGGCCUUCGGGUUGUAAACCGCUUUCGCCUGUGACGAAGCGUGAGUGACGGUAAUGGGUAAAGAAGCACCGGCUAACUACGUG
rnacentral:rRNA from 1 species